GAGGCGCUUGGGAGGACUCCCCCAGUUCUGUUAAGAGCUGGGCACAAAGAGCCCUUUGCACUCCAGCCGCAGGAGCGAGGAGGAGCCGAGCCCUUACCAUUCCUCCACUUAUGGGCCUUAUCCCAGACCUGGGGCGUCCAGCGCAGCCUCAAACCCAGGGCAUCUCUGCACUCUCAUCGCGACGUCGCUCUGGAUGCUGUUUGCAUAUCCUUGGGGAGUCACUGCUUUGGCACAACAGUCCUGCGAGGUGCUGGAAUUCCGUCUGUUCUCAUCACACGGACAUGGCUGAUCUGUCUCAGUGGUACCUGGGGGCAAAGCAGGGAGCCGGGCGGUGGAGGCCAACAUUGUUACCAAGUUGGCUCUGUCUCAACACAGGGACUGAGCCUUCUGAGCCUCAAGCUUUCUCUCUACACUAUGAGACUGAAUCAGCCUGACUCUGGAACUAGGGUUCCCUGGAAACCUCCACUGUCCUCACAAUGACCAGGAUUCAGUGCACGCUGUGACGGGGUCACUGUGGGUUUGUUCACAGAGUUCCUGCUGGUUCCCAGGUGGUGGA
rnacentral:sRNA from 1 species